GACGAACGCUGGCGGCGUGCUUAACACAUGCAAGUCGAACGGAGUGGCGAACGGGUGAGUAACCCGUGGGUGACCUGCCCUGCACUUCGGGAUAAGCCUGGGAAACUGGGUCUAAUACCGGAUAGUGUGGGAUGGGCCCGCGGCCUAUCAGCUUGUUGGUGGGGUAAGGGCCUACCAAGGGGGCGACGGGUAGCCGGCCUGCGGGGGUGGACGGCCACAUUGCGACUGCGACAGGGGCCAGAGGCCUACGGGAGGCAGCGGGGGGGAAUAUUGCACAAUCGGCGGAAGUGUGAUGGAGCGGCGCCGGGUGGGGGAUGACGGCCUGCGGGUUGUAAACUCCUUUCACCAUCGACGCGGUAGAUGGAGAAGAAGCACCGGCUAACUACGUGCCAGCAGCCGCGGUAAUAC
rnacentral:rRNA from 1 species